rnacentral:tRNA from 1 species
GUCGCAUUCGUCUAUCGGUUAGGACACCGGGUUUUCAUCCCGGCAAGAGGGGUUCGACUCCCCUAUGCGAUA